UACGUAGGGGGCAAGCGUUGGUCCGGAUUCAUUGGGCGUAAAGAAGCGUGUAGGCGGCCAGGUAGGUCGGUUGUGAAAACUGGAGGCUCAACCUUCAGAGGUCGACCGAAACCAUCUGGCUAGAGUCCGGGAGAGGAGAGUGGAAUUCCUGGUGUAGCGGUGAAAUGCGCAGAUAUCAGGAAGAACACCCGUGGCGAAAGCGGCUCUCUGGAACGGUACUGACGCUGAGACGCGAAAGCGUGGGGAGCGAACAGG
rnacentral:rRNA from 1 species